AUGCAAUAUUUCAAACGAAAAUCUUCCAAAAGAUUACAUCAAGUGACAAUCAUUCAUCACUAAACAACUAUUCCCCAAAAAAAAAAAAAAAAAAAAAAAAACAUCAAGUGAUUUAUAAUUGCCAAUAGUUCGAUCACCAAUAUCUCAUGAUAACAACAUUGAAGAAAUUAUGCAAAAAAUAUCAUCUCAUCCUUGUGAAAAACAAUGUUAUGUAAUGUCAUCCAUGUAACCAUAAUGAGCCUAACAACACCUCCGUAAGAAUACUCCAUAUCUCAACAAGAAGUUAUCUGUAAGAAAAUCAGAAUAAAAGAAUAAUU
rnacentral:lncRNA from 1 species